AUGCAAGGCAUGGAUAAGACAAUUCCCGAGAUCUUCGCAAUGCUAAAGGCUGUGGAGGUAGAAAUCAAGAAGGAGCAUCAAGUGUUGAUGGUCAACAAGACCACCAGUUUCAAGAAGAAGGGCAAAGGGAAGAAGGGUAACUUCAAGAAGAACAGCAAGCAAAUUGCUGCUCAAGUGAAGAAGCCCAAGUCUGGACCUAAGCCUGAGACUGAGUGCUUCUACUGCAAAGGGACUGGUCAUUGGAAGCGGAACUGCCCCAAGUAUUUGGCGGAUAAGAAGGAUGGCAAAGUGAAAGGGGCUGCGGAUUAA
rnacentral:rRNA from 1 species